rnacentral:ncRNA from 1 species
UUCAGUACCGCGGGAGCCAGGCAUGCUGGCUGAGAGGGCGCCUGAUGCGCCGACCGAAAUACGCCCAGUGGGCGUGGAACCUGAUCCGGCUCGUACCGGCGUAGGGAAGGAGACACAAAUGGCA